GUCUGUGUCAUUUUACACAGCGUGGGACAGUUCUUUGGAAUUUUCCAACACUGUGUAAAAUGACAAAGAG
rnacentral:pre_miRNA from 1 species